GACGAACGCUGGCGGCGUGCUUAACACAUGCAAGUCGAACGGAAAGGCCCUGCUUGCCGGGUACUCGAGUGGCGAACGGGUGAGUAACACGUGGGUGAUCUGCCCUGCACCUCGGGAUAAGCCUGGGAAACUGGGUCUAAUACCGGAUAGGAGCCAUUUUUAGUGUGAUGGUUGGAAAGUUUUUUCGGUGUAGGAUGAGCUCGCGGCCUAUCAGCUUGUUGGUGGGGUAAUGGCCUACCAAGGCGGCGACGGGUAGCCGGCCUGAGAGGGUGGACGGCCACAUUGGGACUGAGAUACGGCCCAGACUCCUACGGGAGGCAGCAGUGGGGAAUAUUGCACAAUGGGCGCAAGCCUGAUGCAGCGACGCCGCGUGGGGGAGGACGGCCUUCGGGUUGUAAACUCCUUUCGCUAGGGACGAAGCUUUUUGUGACGGUACCUAGAGAAGAAGCACCGGCUAACUACGUG
rnacentral:rRNA from 1 species